GAUCAUGGCUCAGGAUGAACGCUAGCUACAGGCUUAACACAUGCAAGUCGAGGGGCAGCAUGGUCUUAGCUUGCUAAGACUGAUGGCGACCGGCGCACGGGUGAGUAACGCGUAUCCAACCUGCCCAUCACUUGGGAAUAACCUUGCGAAAGUAAGACUAAUGCCCAAUGAUAUCCCACGAAGGCAUCCGAAUGGGAUUAAAGAUUUAUCAGUGAUGGAUGGGGA
rnacentral:rRNA from 1 species